CCUACGGGAGGCUGCAGUGGGGAAUAUUGCACAAUGGGGGGAACCCUGAUGCAGCAACGCCGCGUGAAUGAGGAAGUAUUUCGGUAUGUAAAGCUCUAUCAGCAGGGAAUAGAAAAGAAGGUACCUGAAAAAGAAGCCCCGGCAAACUACGUGCCAGCAGGCGCGGUAAUACGUAGGGGGUAAGCGUUAUCCGGAUUUACUGGGUGUAAAGGGAGCGUAGACGGAAAGGUAAGUCAGAAGUGAAAGUCCAAGGCUCAACCAUGGGACUGCUUUUGAAACUGUCAAACUAGAGUACGGGAGAGGUAUGCGGAAUUCGUGGUGUAGCGGUGAAAUGCGUAGAUAUCACGAAGAACUCCGAUGGCGAAGGCAGCAUACCGGACCGCAACUGACGCUGAGGCUCGAAAGCGUGGGUAUCAAACAGGAUUAGAUACCCUGGUAGUC
rnacentral:rRNA from 1 species